GCAGCAGUAGGGAAUCUUCCACAAUGGGCGAAAGCCUGAUGGAGCAACGCCGCGUGAGCGAAGAAGGUCUUCGGAUCGUAAAGCUCUGUUGUAAGGGAAGAACAAGCGCAGCAGUCACUGGCUGCGCCCUGACGGUACCUUACUAGAAAGCCACGGCUAACUACGUGCCAGCAGCCGCGGUAAUACGUAGGUGGCAAGCGUUGUCCGGAAUUAUUGGGCGUAAAGCGCGCGCAGGCGGUCUCUUAAGUCUGAUGUGAAAGCCCCCGGCUCAACCGGGGAGGGUCAUUGGAAACUGGGAGACUUGAGUGCAGGAGAGGGAAGCGGAAUUCCAUGUGUAGCGGUGAAAUGCGUAGAGAUAUGGAGGAACACCAGUGGCGAAGGCGGCUUCCUGGCCUGUAACUGACGCUGAGGCGCGAAAGCGUGGGGAGCAAACAGGAUUAGAUACCCUGGUAGUCCACGCCGUAAACGAUGAGUGCUAGGUGUUAGGGGGUUUCCGCCCCUUAGUGCUGCAGCUAACGCAUUAAGCACUCCGCCUGGGAAGUACGGUCGCAAGACUGAAACUCAAAGGAAUUGACGG
rnacentral:rRNA from 1 species